rnacentral:tRNA from 1 species
UCCAGAGUAGCUCAGUUGGUAGAGCGUGCGGUUGUUACCCGCUUGGUCGUUGGUUCGAUUCCAGCCUCUGGAGCCA